AUGGGGUGCAGCAGGGGAGAAAACUUUGCAAUGUGCGAAAGCACGACAAGGUUAAUCCGAGUGGUUUCUGCUAAAGGAACCUUUUGUCAGUCCUAGAAACACUGAUGAAUAAGGGGUGGGCGAGUUCUGGUGUCAGCCGCCGCGGUAAAACCAGCACCUCAAGUGGUCAGGAUGAUUAUUGGGCCUAAAGCAUCCGUAGCCGGCUUUGUAAGUUUUCGGUUAAAUCCAUGCGCUCAACGUAUGGGCUGCCGGGAAUACUGCAAAGCUAGGGAGUGGGAGAGGUAGACGGUACUCGGUAGGAAGGGGUAAAAUCCUUUGAUCUAUUGAUGACCACCUGUGGCGAAGGCGGUCUACCAGAACACGUCCGACGGUGAGGGAUGAAAGCUGGGGGAGCAAACCGGAUUAGAUACCCGGGUAGUCCCAGCUGUAAACUAUGCAAACUCAGUGACGCAUUGGCUUGAUGCCAAUGCAGUGCUGCAGGGAAGCCGUUAAGUUUGCCGCCUGGGAAGUACGUACGCAAGUAUGAAACUUAAAGGAAUUGGCGGGGGAGCAC
rnacentral:rRNA from 1 species